rnacentral:lncRNA from 1 species
AGAGGAUAAGGCACCCCCUGGGAAGGCCUCCUGGGAAAUUUCCAGAAUAUGCAACGUCAUCCUGAAGAUUAUCAGAUGAAAUCCUCUUUCUUGGUUUUAGACGGGGAUUCUGUUGAAGCCAAGGUUCUAGCUCUUAGUUUUAACAGCAAACUGGUUCUGCCAAGAAAACAGCCAACCUGGAUCCUUGAGACGUGAAAACAAGACUUGGCUUCCUGACUAAGAAUGUGAAUUCUAAAUACAUCAUCAUCACCUAGUAUGUACUGUGGAAACUUCACUGAACUCAGUGGGAUGACAGUGCCCUAAUGUGGGAUUCCAAGUUUUUAAUUUUCAGCUGUACGUGCCAGCCCUUGGAUUCACAGUCAACUGGGAAUAAAAACAAUAAAGACUGGGUGUUUCA